rnacentral:snoRNA from 1 species
AACUCCAUAAUCAACCAUGCGUUCCACUGGCGUCACUGAUACUUAAAUCCAUUAUUUCGGUUUGAUGCCUUAAAUAUAUGGUGGUACUAUGAAAGAUGCAUGGGAGAAUGACGGUUUAAGAUGUAUCUCCAGCUAUUGAAUGCGGGAAAGCUUUUCUCUUUUUUGCAGCUCAAAUCUGAUAUAGUUGGUCAUGAUUCUUGCGACAAAU